GUGUGCUUGAUCAAUAUAGGAGUUCUUUAACUCCUAAAAUUGUACAAGCUCUUGUGUGUACUCAAGAUUGGAUUCGAAGAUCAUCAUCACAAGAAGACAUAAAAAAGAUUGAAGAACAAAUCCAAGAGCUUGACAAGAUUGAAAAUGGUUUAAUGCAAAUGGAGAUAUUUUGGAGAGAUGAAAUGGAUAUAUUUUGGAAAGAUGAAAUGGAUAUAAAUGGAGAAUGUUAAAAACAUACAUUUCAAUUAUGUGUUAAUUCAAGACUUAUGUAAUAUUUUUAAUUAUGUAGUGAUUCAAAGACUUAUGUAAUAUUUUUAAUUAUGUAGUGAUUCAAAUAUUUAUGUAAUGUUUUUAAUUAUGUAGUGAUUUAAUUCGGGUAA